rnacentral:rRNA from 1 species
AUGGCAGGCCUAUCCCUAGAGCACCCUUGGGCAUUCGCCUUCGGCCUCCUAGGCAACAUCAUCUCUUUCACAAGCCUCCUGGCCCCCAUACCAACAUUCUACCGGAUCUUCAAGAGCAAAUCCACGGAGGGGUUCCAGUCGGUGCCCUACGUCGUGGCCCUGUUCAGCGCGAUGCUGUGGAUCUUCUACGCGCUGGUGAAGACUGGUGAGGGCCUCCUCAUCACCAUCAACGCUGCCGGCUGCGUCAUCGAGACCGUCUACAUCGUCAUGUACCUCGUCUACGCCCCCACGAAGGCCAAGAUUUUCACAGCCAAGAUCGUCCUCCUACUCAACAUCGCCAGCUUCGGGCUCAUCCUCCUCCUCACCCUCUUUGCCUUCCACGGCGAGACACGCGUCGUCUCGCUCGGCUGGAUCUGCGUCGGCUUCUCCGUUUGUGUCUUCGUCGCCCCUCUCAGCAUCAUCGGACGAGUCAUCAAGACCAAGAGUGUGGAGUACAUGCCCUUCUCCCUCUCCCUCACGCUCACCCUCAGCGCCGUCGUCUGGUUCCUCUACGGCCUACUCAUCAAGGACAAAUAG